UAGACGGCGGCUACUGCAUACAAAUUCGCCAAAUUAAAUAUACGAACGAGCAACAAGCAAUAAGUGCCGAAACAACAACAACAACAACAACCGCGGAAAGGUAAAUAACAAACAACAACUGCAGCAGCAGAGUCCACAUUCAGCCUACUACUACGGGCACUACACUGCACCUCAACGCUUACGCACGCACAGCUUGCUGCUGCCGCUCGCGGGGGGACUUUGGAAUGUUGCUGCAACGAGUCGCACAUUUUCACGCCGUAUAUUGCUGCCUCUGCUGCCAGUGACAAGCCGACGUGCAACUGACUUGGCUGGAGCCACUUUGGCCAACAAACUGCAAACUGCAAUCGUUCUGAGGCGAACCAGAGAGUGUGUGUGUGUGUGGGUGUGUACAUUGCUGCAGCCAGCCGUGCAGUGGCGCAGAGGAGCAAGCAGUGAGCCCCGGAAGGCAGCGCACAAGCGAGUAGUUGUAGUGUCAGUUUAUCAGCGUGAAUAAAUUUCGAAAGAAAUUUUUAUCAAUGUGCUACAAGCAACUAAAGCAACAACAACAACAACAAUAAAGAAGAAAGAUAAAAUAAAAUAAGCGAGGGAGAAGUGAAGCGCAGAAGUGAGAGUGGGUUAAGCCAAAGUGGGGCGGCAAACAAAUUGAACCGAUUCAAGUGGGCAAAUUUGUUGGAGCGCUCAUUUGUUUUCUUUUUUUUUUAUUUAGUGCAUUUCUUUUAAGUGAGUGUGUGCUACUUUCUUGAAAUUCAGCAGCCAUAAAUAAACCAAAAGUUAUGCAGCAGCAGCAAACAAACGCACCUACUCAUACCGCCGACUGGUUUGUUUAUAAGCAUAUGUGUGUGUAUGUGUCUGAAAAUGCAAACAGACAAAUGUCUACAACUGUGUACACGAAUAAAAGAGAAGUGGAAUUGAGCUGAGUGCGGCAAGGCAAAGAAAAGAGGCAGCAAGCAAUUGGGAAAUUGUAAUAAAAAAUAUCAUAAAAUCGGAAAAGCAGCAUGAACUAGAAUAAACAAAAAAUAAGAAGUAGAAACUGAAAGUAGUAAACUGAUGAAAAAAAUAAAUUUAGAAAUAUAGAAAAGAAAUAGUUAUAAAUUGCAUUAAGGAAAUCACGUGAAGCAUUCAGUUGCGACUGAAAUUGAAAGUAAACUAAAAUAUAAAAAUAGAA